UGGGGAAUUUUGGACAAUGGGGGAAACCCUGAUCCAGCCAUCCCGCGUGUGCGAUGAAGGCCUUCGGGUUGUAAAGCACUUUUGGCAGGAAAGAAACGUCGCGGGUUAAUACCCCGCGAAACUGACGGUACCUGCAGAAUAAGCACCGGCUAACUACGUGCCAGCAGCCGCGGUAAUACGUAGGGUGCAAGCGUUAAUCGGAAUUACUGGGCGUAAAGCGUGCGCAGGCGGUUCGGAAAGAAAGAUGUGAAAUCCCAGAGCUUAACUUUGGAACUGCAUUUUUAACUACCGGGCUAGAGUGUGUCAGAGGGAGGUGGAAUUCCGCGUGUAGCAGUGAAAUGCGUAGAUAUGCGGAGGAACACCGAUGGCGAAGGCAGCCUCCUGGGAUAACACUGACGCUCAUGCACGAAAAGCGUGGGGAGCAAAACAGGAUUAGAUACCCUGGUAGUCCACGCCCUAAACGAUGUCAACUAGCUGUUGGGGCCUUCGGGCCUUGGUAGCGCAGCUAACGCGUGAAGUUGACCGCCUGGGGAGUACGGUCGCAAGAUUAAAAACUCAAAUGAAUUG
rnacentral:rRNA from 1 species